ensembl:lncRNA
GUUGUAGUGUGGUAUACUGUAGAUAGUGGUGUUGUAGUGUGGUAUACUGUAGAUAGUGGUGUUGUAUACUGUAGAUAGUGGUGUUGUAGUGUUGUAUACUGUAGAUAGUGGUGUAGUGGUGUUGUAUACUGUAGAUAGUGGUGUUGUAGUGUGGUAUACUGUAGAUAGUGGUGUUGUAGUGUUGUAUACUGUAGAUAGUGGUGUUGUAUACUGUAGAUAGUGGUGUUGUAGUGUUGUAUACUGUAGAUAGUGGUGUUGUAUACUGUAGAUAGUGGUGUUGUAGUGUUGUAUACUGUAGAUAGUGGUGUUGUAUACUGUAGAUAGUGGUGUUGUAGUGUUGUAU